UACGUAGGGUGCGAGCGUUGUCCGGAAUUAUUGGGCGUAAAGGGCUCGUAGGCGGUUUGUCGCGUCGGGAGUGAAAUCCACUGGCUUAACUGGUGGCUUGCUUUCGAUACGGGCAGACUGGAGGUAUGCAGGGGAGAACGGAAUUCCUGGUGUAGCGGUGAAAUGCGCAGAUAUCAGGAGGAACACCGGUGGCGAAGGCGGGUCUCUGGGC
rnacentral:rRNA from 1 species